rnacentral:ncRNA from 1 species
UACACAGCGACGAAGGGAAGGAGUACCCGCGCGGGCGGUGCAGAGAGGGGCCGGAUGGUGCAAGGCCCUCCGGCGGCGCGGGGAAGGUCGUCCCGGAGCUCCGGGCCUGAAUACAGUAGGGCCCGGCGGGUUCUCCCGUUAGCGAGACAAGAGCGCCUCCAUGGCUUCAUGGGGGAAUUCAGGUGGUACCGCGGACUUACGGGUUCGCCCUGAGC